GAUGAACGCUAGCUACAGGCUUAACACAUGCAAGUCGCGGGGCAGCAUGGGGGUUGCUUGCAAUCCCCGAUGGCGACCGGCGCACGGGUGAGUAACGCGUAUCCAACCUGCCCUUCACCACGGGAUAACCCGGCGAAAGUCGGACUAAUACCGUAUGUCGUCCAUUGACGGCAUCCGAUUUGGACGAAAGGUUUGGCGGUGAAGGCGGGGGAUGCGUGCGAUUGGCUGGACGGCGGGGUGACGGCCCACCGUGGCGACGAUCGGUAGGGGUUCUGAGGGGAGGGUCCCUCAGACUGGAACCGGGACACGGUCCAGACACCUACGGGAGGCAGCAGUGAGGAAGAUUGGUCAAGGGACGUAAGCCUGAACCAGCCAAGUAGCGUGCAGGAAGGCGGCCCUAGGGGUUGUAAACUGCUUUUAUGCGGGGAUAAAGUGGCCCACGUGUGGGUUUUUGCAGGUACCGCAUGAAUAAGGACCGGCUAAUUCCGUG
rnacentral:rRNA from 1 species